rnacentral:miRNA from 1 species
UGAGGCUUGCCUUUGAUUCUC